GAAGCUAGGAGGAGGUGGCCUUCCAUAGCUUUAGGAAGAAAAAAAAUCUUCUUUCUUCAUACCAAAAAAUCGGAUAGAGAUUAGGAAAUCUUGUGAUAGGUUGACUUUUGAUUGAUCAAAGGAGUGUGUCAUAGAGAGUUGUUCAUCUCCUAUUUCACCAAAGAGUGUGUUCGGCAGAGGAUGAACUAAGAAGAGACACAGAGGUCUAUAAGUAGGAGGUGGAUGGCCUAGGAAGCUAGGUUUUUAUCAUGACUCUGAUAGGAGUGAGUAGGAUUAGAGAAACUAUAAAAGGGGUUGUAGAAGUGGGAAAACAUCAGAAAUCGAAAAGGAGUAGAGAAUUUGAGAGUUAGAGAACAUGAUUGUGAAGGAAGGAUUCAGAGAUUUGAAGGGUACAGAACCAGAAACCUAAAAGUCUGCUUGCUGUCUGUUGUGUAAUUAUGUAUAAGAAAUAAAAAGAUGAGCUUGUUGGCUUUUGCUCUCUUGUUUGAAUAAAGAACUACUUUUGUGUGAACUUUGAGUAGUUCAUAAGUUGUAAUUUUGGCUGAAACUUUCAAUAAUGAAUAUGUUGUUUAAUUAA